rnacentral:rRNA from 1 species
CCUACGGGAGGCAGCAGUGGGGAAUCUUGCGCAAUGGGCGAAAGCCUGACGCAGCAACGCCGCGUGCGGGAAGAAGGCCUUCGGGUUGUAAACCGCUUUCAGCAGGAACGAAAAUGACGGUACCUGCAGAAGAAGGAGCGGCCAACUACGUGCCAGCAGCCGCGGUGACACGUAGGCUCCAAGCGUUGUCCGGAUUUAUUGGGCGUAAAGAGCUCGUAGGCGGUUCAGUAAGUCGGGCGUGAAAACUCUGGGCUCAACCCAGAGCCUGCAUUCGAAACUGCUGUGACUAGAGUUUGGUAGGGGAGCGGGGAAUUCCUAGUGUAGCGGUGAAAUGCGCAGAUAUUAGGAGGAACACCGGUGGCGAAAGCGCCGCUCUGGGCCAAUACUGACGCUGAGGAGCGAAAGCGUGGGUAGCAAACAGGAUUAGAUACCCUGGUAGUCCACGCCGUAAACGAUGGGCACUAGGUGUGGGUUUCAACUACGAAAUUCGUGCCGUCGCUAACGCAUUAAGUGCCCCGCCUGGGGAGUACGGUCGCGAGACAAACUUAAACGUAAGUAGACGACGUGAGACGAGCCGACGACGACGACGAGGGAGAGG